CCUACGGGAGGCAGCAGUCGAGAAUCAUUCACAAUGGGGGAAACCCUGAUGGUGCGACGCCGCGUGGGGGAAUGAAGGUCUUCGGAUUGUAAACUCCUGUCAUGUGGGAGCAAAUUAAAAAGAUAGUACCACAAGAGGAAGAGACGGCUAACUCUGUGCCAGCAGCCGCGGUAAUACAGAGGUCUCAAGCGUUGUUCGGAAUCACUGGGCGUAAAGUGUGCGUAGGCUGUUUCGUAAGUCGUGUGUGAAAGGCGCGGGCUCAACCCGCGGACGGCACAUGAUACUGCGAGACUAGAGUACAGGAGGGGGAACCGGAAUGCUCGGUGUAGCAGUGAAAUGCGUAGAUAUCGAGAGGAACACUCGUGGCGAAGGCGGGUUCCUGGACAUUAACUGACGCUGAGGCACGAAGGCGAGGGGAGCGAAAGGGAUUAGAUACCCGGGUAGUC
rnacentral:rRNA from 1 species